GAUGAACGCUAGCGACAGGCCUAACACAUGCAAGUCGAGGGGCAGCACAAGGAGCAAUCUGAGGUGGCGACCGGCGCACGGGUGAGUAACACGUAUGCAACCUACCUGUAAGAGGGGAAUAACCCGUUGAAAAACGGACUAAUACCGCAUAACACUGUAGAACCGCAUGGUUUGACAGUUAAACAUUUAUGGCUUACAGAUGGGCAUGCGCAUGAUUAGCUAGUUGGUGAGGUAACGGCUCACCAAGGCAACGAUCAUUAGGGGUUCUGAGAGGAAGGUCCCCCACACUGGUACUGAGACACGGACCAGACUCCUACGGGAGGCAGCAGUGAGGAAUAUUGGUCAAUGGGCGAGAGCCUGAACCAGCCAAGUCGCGUGAAGGAUGAAGGUUUUAGAAUUGUAAACUUCUUUUGCUAGGGGAAUAAAGUGUCCGACGUGUCGGAUUUUGUAUGUACUCUGCGAAUAAGGAUCGGCUAACUCCGUGCCAGCAGCCGG
rnacentral:rRNA from 1 species